UAACCCUACCCAACGUAAAAAUAGAUCUGUUAUGAUCUUAUCCCUAUGAUUCCUUUCCUCGAGCCCUCUACCUUGUUUUCCCCUUGUCCCGAAUACCGAUCCUGAUCUAUCUUCUUUCUGCGUAGGUGGUGGCGACUGGAGUCACGAUGUCCGCCGCCAAACACUGCCACGGGCGGGCCUGCAGCAGGCAAGCGACGUCGCCCGUAGUGACGGGACUGGUUGUGGGAGGAGCUGCUGACGAGAGACGCGCCGUCAGCUGCCCACCGUGGCAAGACCUACAGCAGGCCAGCGACGUCAUCGUCUACCGGGAGCCCGCGACUUCUCUAGGGAGGAGCUACAGUGGUUCAUUGGGGGAUCGAUCUGGCGAAGGAGAAGCUCGGGCCGUGUGGUUGCCGGAGCCAUGGCGGGAUGCAUCAUUAUCUACAACCUCGUGGAUUCACCUGAGUGAAAAGUGGGAUACUUUUCUAGGAGCCGAAGCUGCUGCGACGCCUGGUGUCUGCCGGCACCGGUGGUGCCAUCUUCGUCAGACUUGGAGGAUUUAGACCACCAUCUUUGGAUGCAUUCGCGGCAUCGCGGCCGCAUUUCAUACAGAGUCUGCAAGGCCUUGGAGGAGGCUCAAAUGAGUGGAUGCUUUUGGCUCGCCAAUUCUAAAUUACACACGCUCAUCAGCCAAGCCAUCCUUUUGGAUUUUGGUAGACAUAAUGGAGUAUAUUCAGUCACAUUUCCCGUAGCCAAAACAAGUACUCGAAGAAACAGUCAAUGUAGUGGUGCAAGAAGUGUGAGAACUUCAGUUUCUUAUAGCUGGACUGAUGGUGCACAGUAAUAUAGGAGCAUCAAGAGGCAUUGUUAUGGCUGAUGAAGAAUGAUCCAUUCAAAUAACAAUGGUGUCCCUCAAUCGAAGAUUAAUAAAUAUAAUGUUUUCUAGUUGUCUCGCUUUCCAGUUAGAUAUGAGCAAGUACGUGGUCAUACAAGGAGUGCUUUAUAAUUCCAGAAUUAUAUGUCAGAAUUUUGUUAACUUAUACGAUUUCUAUUAACGAAAGAGGCUAUGAUCUUUUUCAAUUCACAUUCUUUUGUUUUCAUAUUAAUGUGGAUGUUAAUAUUCAAAUGUUGGAUGGUGCAUAAUUUGAUCGUUGAAUGGAAAGUUAUACUAAAUAUAAUUGGUUCUGA